AAUUUCCAAACCCUUGGUUACUGUUCAUUCUCCCUCAACCUUGAAUUUUCUCUUUGAUUUCCCUUCUUUUCUUCAAAUUCUUCUUUGAAAAGGUGUUGGGAGAAAAUAGGUAGUUGAUUGGAGAGUAAGGAUUUCAAAUAAAACCUAAUUAACAAAUUCUUGAAUUUAUUCAAAUGGAGUUGAGCACAAACCUACCUUCCAAAAUCUUUCACAAGUUUAAAAUUUCUUAAUCUUCCUUUUCUUUUCUUUUUCCUUUAGAAUUUUCACUCUUCCCUUCCACUUCUUCUUCAUGAAAAAUAAACCAAUAAAUCAAAUGAAUACAAUAUUUCUCAUAAAUAUUCACAUAAAAAUAAUAAGAAACAUCCCUACAUCAAAACCCCCGACAUACCUUUAAAUUUCCAAACCCUUGGUUACUGUUCAUUCUCCCUCAACCUUGAAUUUUCUCUUUGAUUUCCCUUCUUUUCUUCAAAUUCUUCUUUGAAAAGGUGUUGGGAGAAAAUAGGUAGUUGAUUGGAGAUGGAAUUUUGAAGAAAUUUUGGUGUGAAAAAAAAAAGAUGGAGGAAUGGGUCUUCUAUUGGGUUCACGGGAAAGAGAGGAAAAAAAGUUGAAGAAGAUGUUUUCCAGCUUUUUCUUUUCCUUCUCUGCUAACUUUUUAUUCUUCUUCUUUUCUUUUUCUCUUUUUCUUUUCUUUUUCUUUUUAUUUGGUUGUGC
rnacentral:lncRNA from 1 species